rnacentral:lncRNA from 1 species
AAAUAACUUCACUUAUAAACUUACUGAAGUUAUUUUCAACCGUCUGAUCCUGUCCCUUUUGUGCUUAGUUACAUUCAUCAACAUAAGAAGGAAAAGGACAUAGGAAAUAGUUUCGGUGGGAUUGUCCGAUAUCUCUCGGCAAAACAUCAUCGAUCCUUUCAUCGCCCCUCUAUUCAUUCCAUGUUAUUCCUCCUCUCACAGAAACGCAAUCCAACCUAUCGCACGUCCCAUUGCAUCUGCGUCGGACUUAUAGAAACAAUUAAGAUCUACAGAAAUAGGGAGGAUCUAAAGAGACUAAACAAGGAGAUUGGCAGCAUAACGAAAGAAGAGAUCUCAGAGGAGCUUUUACAUGAGCAAGAAAGUCUUUUAAGAUUGGCCACGGAGGAGAGAGAUGAACUAAUUCUAUAUAUCACCAACAAUGUCCAGCUUUUGCUUUGGAAAUUUCAAUCCAAGAUCUCCUAGAUCUUUGAAAGAAUUUUAGCGGUAAAAAUAUUCUUGUGAGAGUUGGUUAAUUUCAUUGUCAUCUUCAAUGUUUUAUGACUGAUUGGUUGAGCUGGAAAAUUGAUAUUGAUCAUUCAUGUGUC